rnacentral:rRNA from 1 species
UGAAUACGAGGCACUAAGGUGCUGAAGUAGUGUAUGUCACACUUCCAAGAAAAGCUUGCACUAUCGUAAGAUAAAAAUGCCUGUACCAUAACCGACACAGGUGGGUAGGUAGAGUAUACUAAGGGGCGCGAGAUAACUCUCUCUAAGGAACUCGGCAAAAUAACUCCGUAACUUCGGGAGAAGGAGUGCCUUAUUCUAUAAGGUUGCAAUAACAAGAUCCAAGCAACUGUUUAUCAAAAACACAGGUCUCCGCUAAGUCGUAAGACGAUGUAUGGGGGCUGACGCCUGCCCAGUGCCAGAAGGUUAAAGAAGUCGGUUAGCAAUUGCGAAGCUGGUAACUGAAGCCCUGGUGAACGGCGGCCGUAACGAUAACGGUCCUAAGGUAGCGAAAUUCCUUGUCGGGUAAGUUCCGACCCGCACGAAAGGCGUAAUGAUUUGGAUACUGUCUCGGAGAGGGACUCGGUGAAAUAGACUUGUCUGUGAAGAUGCGGACUACCUGCACCAGGACAGAAAGACCCUAUGAAGCAUUACUGUAACUUGAAAUUGAAAUUGGACUUUAUUCGCGCAGUGUAGGUGGGAGGCGUUGAUUAUAAUCUUGUGGGAUUAUUGGAGCCAUUAGUGAGAUACCACUCUUGUAAUGUUAGAUUUCUAACUUUGAAUCAUGAUCUGGUCAAAGAACAGUUUCAGGCGGGCAGUUUGACUGGGGCGGUCGCCUCCUAAAUGGUAACGGAGGCGUACAAAGGUUUCCUCUGAACGGGUAGAAAUCGUAUCUAGAGUGUAAAGGCAUAAGGAAGCUUGACUGUGAGACCUACAAGUCGAGCAGGGACGAAAGUCGGUCUUAGUGAUCUGACGGUACUGAGUGGAAAGGCCGUCACUCAACGGAUAAAAGUUACUCUAAGGAUAACAGGCUGAUCUCCCCCAAGAGUUCACAUCGACGGGGGGGUUUGGCACCUCGAUGUCGGCUCAUCGCAUCCUGGGGCGGUAGUACGUCCCAAGGGUUGGGCUGUUCGCCCAUGAAAGCGGUACGCGAGCUGGGUUCAGAACGUCGUGAGACAGUUCGGUCCAUAUCCGGUGUAGGCGUUAGAAUAUUGAGAGGAGCCUUCUUUAGUACGAGAGGACCGAGAAGGACAUACCUCUGGUGUACCAGUUAUCGUGCCAACGGUAAACGCUGGAUAGCUAUGUAUGGAGUGGAUAACCGCUGAAAGCAUCUAAGUGGGAAGCCCACCUCAAGAUAAGUAUUC